rnacentral:rRNA from 1 species
AGCAGCAGCCACGGUAAUACGAGGGGUGCAAGCGUUAUUCGGAUUGAUUGGGUGUAAAGGGUGCGCAGACGGCUUAUUAAGUCACUUGUUAAAUUCUUCGGCCUAACUGAAGGUCUGCAAGUGAUACUGAUGAGCUAGAGGGUGGAAGAGAGAAGUGGAAUUCUCGGAGUAGCGGUAAAAUGCGUAGAUCUCGAGAGGGACACCAAUGGCGAAGGCAGCUUCUUGGUCCAUUCCUGACGUUCAUACACGAAAGCGUGGGGAGCAAACAGGAUUAGAUACCCGAGUAGUCCCUGUCUCUUAUAC